rnacentral:rRNA from 1 species
AGAGUUUGAUCAUGGCUCAGGAUGAACGCUGGCGGCGUGCCUAAUACAUGCAAGUCGAACGAGGUGCUUUGUAGCAAUACGAAGUAUCCUAGUGGCGAACGGGUGAGUAACGCGUUGGUGACCUACCCCAAAGUGUGGGAUAACAGUCCGAAAGGAUUGCUAAUACCGCAUGUGGUCUCUGGAUUUAGAAACCGGUGACUAAAGGAGCAAUUCGCUUUGGGAGGGACCUGCGUCCCAUCAGCUAGUUGGUGAGGUAACGGCUCACCAAGGCGACGACGGGUAGGGGACCUGAGAGGGUGGCCCCCCACAAUGGAACUGAAACACGGUCCAUACACCUACGGGUGGCAGCAGUAGGGAAUAUUGGUCAAUGGGCGAAAGCCUGAACCAGCAACGCCGCGUGUGCGAUGAAGGCCAUCGGGUCGUAAAGCACUUUUCUGGGAGAUGAGAAAGGACAGUAUCCCAGGAAUAAGUCUCGGCUAACUACGUGCCAGCAGCCGCGGUAAAACGUAGGAGGCGAGCGUUAUCCGGAUUCACUGGGCGUAAAGCGCGUGCAGGUGGCUUGGUAAGUUAGGCGUGAAAUCUCCCGGCUCAACUGGGAGAGGUCGUCUAAUACUACCGGGCUUGAGAGCAGAAGAGGAAGAUGGAAUCCCCGGUGUAGUGGUGAAAUGCGUAGAUAUCGGGAGGAACACCAGUGGCGAAGGCGAUCUUCUGGUCUGUUUCUGACACUCAGACGCGACAGCUAGGGUAGUAAACGGGAUUAGAGACCCCGGGUAAUCCUAGCCGUAAACGAUGUAAACUUGGCGUCGGUGGUUAAACUCCCUUCAGUGUCGCAGCAACGCGAUGAGUUUACGCCUAGGGACUACGGCCGCAAGGUUAAAAUUCAAAGAAAUGACCGGAGGCCCCGCACAAGCAGCGGAGCGUGUGGUAUAAAUUCGAUGCUACACGAAGAACCUUACCCAGGCUUGACAUACAAGUGGUAGGGAUCUGAAAGGUGACCGACCCGCAAGGGAGCUUGAACAGGUGUUGCAUGGCUGUCGUCAGCUCGUGUCGUGAGAUGUUCGGUUAAGUCCGCUAACGAGGGGGAGCCCUCGCUGCGUGAAACAAGUGUCACGCAGGACCGCCGGUAUUAAGCCGGAGGAAGGUGGGGAUGACGUCAAGUCAGCAUGGCCUUUAUGCCUGGGGCUACACACACGCUACAAUGGGCAGUACAAUGGGUUGCUAAGCCGGGAGGUGGAGCCAAUCCCCCAAAACUGUCCUCAGUUCAGAUUGCAGGCUGCAACUCGCCUGCAUGAAGCCGGAGUUGCUAGUAAACGCGCGUCAGCUAUAGUGCGUUGAAUACGUUCUCGGGCCUUGUACACACCGCCCGUCACGUCAUGGGAGCUGGUAACACCUGAAGCCGGUAGCCUAACCGCAAGGAGGGCGCCGUCGAAGGUGGGGCUGGUGACUGGGACGAAGUCGUAACAAGGUAGGUGUACCGGAAGGUGCGGCUGGAUCACCUCCU